rnacentral:misc_RNA from 1 species
ACAAACAACGGGAACUACUCGACCAGUUCCAAACUGUGGCAGCACACAGCUCUAAAUACAGAACAGAAUAUUAACGAACUCUGCAGCCACUGUCAGGUGCCUGAAGCUAUCGAACACUAUCUCCUUCACUGCUUCCGACAUCAUAGUGCCAGAUCGCUGCUUCUGUAUCUACACAACGCAACAAACACUUUUUGAAACUCUUAUCCUUCUCAACAUAAACGCGUCUCCCAACAUUUGUACUGCGGUCAUCGGGAGGAUAAACCUUUGAUGCAAACUGCACUUACUAUCAAGAAGAAGAAGAACUACUCGACCCUAGUAAAAGACCUUAUACAAAAUUUGAACAGUAAUGCCGGUUAAACCUAACUGGAAAGAAUGACUGGUUUCCUGCAGUGACAAACCACAUAAUGCAAAACCUUGAGCGGGAGGCUUUGUAUAACGUUGAGCGAAGACUAAAACUGACACCGACGAGCGUGUUAUCUGCAUAUUUUUGAAGGUUGUGAUUUGACUCACAGAAUGGACACGUAUAAAGUUUUGGAAGCUAUUGGUCAGGGGUCCUUUGGCAGAGUCUUCCGAGGAAAGAGUUUAGUCAAUGGACAAAUAGUAGCACUGAAAUUUAUACCCAAAAGAAACAAAAUAGAGAGAGAGUUGAAGAGCUUGCGACGUGAAUGUGAGAUUCAACGAGGUCUAGCACAUCCAAACAUUGUUCGAAUGAUUGAUUCGUUUGAAACCGAAAAUGAAGUUGUGGCUGUCAGCGAAUAUGUUCCUGGGCAACUCUUUAAGCUUUUAGAAUCUAAUGGGCCGUUGGAAGAAGAGAGAGUUCGGCAGAUUGCAUGCAACUUGGUCUCUGCCAUAUAUUAUUUACACUCCCAUCGAAUUCUUCACAGAGAUAUAAAACCUCAAAAUAUUCUUUUGUCAUUGACUGGUGAAGCAAAACUUUGUGAUUUUGGGUUCUCUAGGAAAAUGGGGAUUAACACAUACGUACUUACCUCGGUAAAAGGUACACCAUUAUAUAUGGCACCAGAACUCAUUGAAGAACAACCAUAUGAUCAUAAUGCUGAUCUUUGGUCUUUAGGAUGCAUUCUCUAUGAGCUUCUGACAGGAAGACCACCAUUUUGUACAACAUCAAUUGUUCAGCUUAUCAAAAUGGUAAGGACAGAGCCAGUGUCAUGGCCACGCGGAUUAAGUGAGAGUUGUUCCGGCUUUCUUCAUGGAUUGCUUGAAAAAGAUCCAGGAAAGAGGUUAACUUGGCCCUCUUUGCUUGAGCAUCCCUGGGUUCAUGAGGGGCUGGUGUUUGUUCAACAGUCUCUAAGUGGCAUACCUCUCACAAAUCCCCUAACAUUAUCUCAACAGCAAGUCAAGGAACAACAGUGUAAAGAGCUUGUACAGCGAGCUGCUGGCCAGACAAGAAUGAUAGGGAAACCUGUAAUAAUAAAUGUUGCAUCUCCCACAAAAACAGAUGAGACCCAAUCAAGUUCUAAACCAGCAUCAAGCUUACCUGGUACAACAGGAGUUAGUUUGGCAGUAGUGCCAUCAGUAGGUAGGAGCAUACAGAGUCAGGAUGAGAGAGAAGAAAAUGGCACUCUACUACAAAUAGAUGCAGAUACUUUGAAGAAACUGUCAGAGAUUUGUCUUGAAACAGGUGUGUGCAGCUCUAAGGGGUCUGAAAGCAGAUCCCCUUCUCCACACCCAGUACGACGUCGAGAGAGAGAGAAAAUGAUCCAAAUCAACGUGUCAAGCUCAAGUGAGGAAAUGGCUCAAAGCACAGAAGAUUUAGUAACUGCUAAUGACAUGCACACAACUGUUGUAGAGGUAGAAGUUCACAGAAGUGCAUUAUCUGUAGAAUCAGUACCCAAAGUUGCUGGCAUAGAGGACUUAGAAACUGAUGCUAGAUGUGUGAUUGGUGCAUCUGUUCGAAAGCUAAGCAGGUUGUCAGAGGAACCUGGAUUCAAGGAAGAGGAUGUAAAAGACUUCCAGUUGUAUGGCCCCUUGCCUCUAGAAGACCGCAAAGAUAGUAUGGUCAAUUAUUUGGCAAACUCCAUUGACUCUUCUAGACGUGGAAGUAGGCCCUCCAAUGGAAUGCUGGAGUUAAUUCAAGACGGGCGACCAAGCUUGCCAAACAUAAAUGAAGAAAGCUUCACUCCUUUUACCCAGGACAGAGUUUUAACAGUAAUGAGUGGCAAGACUAGUAGUGCAGCGGUUUUCACUCUGCAUAGUUUUAACUCUGAUGAUAAGCGGAUUGAAACCGAAGAAUGGUGCAGGUUUUUGGAUAAAACUAUUGCCGAUACUCUAAAUGGAAACUAUAGCAUAUUCCUAGAGCAAAGUGAAUUAUCACUCUUCAUCUCUCCACUCCGAAAUCAAACGUGCCCUGUUCAAGUUACAAACAAAAUAGCAACUUUGCUGUUCCUACCAUUUACCAUGGAGGAAAUGAAGCCUACUAUUACAGAUGUGAUAAAAGUGUAUCUGGAGUGUAAACUAGUUCCAAAUUUGAUAUAUUCUUGCAAAUUAAUAUUCAAGGUAGAAACUCACAAAGUUAAUAGAACAGUUGAAUUUGACAAAGACCAAAUUGAUACAAUGGGUCAGCUUACUAUGGUGAUUUGCCACCUAGUUCAUCUGGAAACAGAUUUUCUUUUACAAUUUUGUGAUUGUGUUUGUGUAUUGAAUGCCAGCAAAGUUAUUGGUAAAAUACUUACUCUAGAUAAUGUUCUUCCAGAUUUGGUUGCAGAUAUGCUAGCUAUUUUGAAUCAGAUUUUAAGGUUAAUGCCAGAAAACAAAUCGGUAGUUGAACAAAUUAUUGGCACAAAUGAUUCAGUGAUUCUCCUCUUGGGCACACUGAUUACCCACAAAGUAGCUCUUGUGAGAGCCAGACUGUGUACCUUUAUAGGAUACCUAGCAAAGCUGUGCCCUUUGAUAUCGAAACAAUUUGAAGGUCAACACAAGCUGAUUUGUGACCUCAUUAACUUGGAGAGCGACAUUGUGCCUCAAGUAAGAAAGACGGCCUCCUUUGCCGUCUCUUGUUUGCAAGCUUACACACAUCUAAUGCCAGAUGACUCCUCUCCAUAACUGGGAUUCUUUUAGGAAGUUGGUGACUAGAAGACAGUUUGCACUGUCUACACUCUAAAUACAGUACAUGUAUAUGGGAAAGCGUCCAACAGGCAAGCCCCAGCUACGGUACAAAG